rnacentral:lncRNA from 1 species
AAGAUGCAGUACAAACCACCCAAUGGGAGUCAGGGAUUCAAGAACAGUCUAGUGCUUGGGGGGCUGCUUCAAAUCAAAACAGUGACCAGUCUGAUGGACCUCAAAAGGCUAUGUGGGUGUCUGGGAGCUCUCAAAAGUGGGGAUCUGGUGUUACCCAAGAAGACUCUUCAAAAUCUGGUGCUUGGGGGGCUGCUACCAAUCAAAAUAAUGAUCAGUCUUGGGGUAAAACGAAACCUGUAGCACAAGAUGCAGUACAAACCACCCAAUGGGAGUCAGGGAUUCAAAAACAGUCUAGUGCUUGGGGGGCUGCUUCAAAUCAAAACAGUGACCAGUCUGAUGGACCUCAAAAGGCUAUGUGGGUGUCUGGGAGCUCUCAAAAGUGGGGAUCUGGUGUUGCCCAAGAAGACUCUUUAAAAUCUGGUGCUUGGGAGGCCAACACAAU